rnacentral:misc_RNA from 1 species
GAUGAAGAACGUAGCGAAAUGCGAUAAGUAAUGUGAAUUGCAGAAUUCAGUGAAUCAUCGAAUCUUUGAACGCACAUUGCGCCCAUCAGUAUUCUGUUGGGCAUGCCUGUCCGAGCGUCAUUUCAACCCUCAGGGCCCGUCCGCGGGAACUGGUGUUGGGGAUCGGCCUCCCCCCGGAGGCCGGCCCCGAAAUGCAGUGGCGGCUCUACCGCGAUCUCCUCUGUGUAGUAGCGAUACCUCGCAGCUGGAUAGUGGUGGUGCCACGCCGUAAAAUCCCAACUUUACCAAGGUUGACCUCGGAUCAGGUAGGAAUACCCGCUGAACUUAAGCAUAUCAAUAAGCGGAGGA